rnacentral:rRNA from 1 species
CCUACGGGAGACAGCAGUGAGGAAUAUUGGUCAAUGGGCGCGAGCCUGAACCAGCCAAGUAGCGUGAAGGAUGACUGCCCUACGGGUUGUAAACUUCUUUUAUAAAGGAAUAAAGUGCGGCACGUGUGCCUUUUUGUAUGUACUUCAUGAAUAAGGAUCGGCUAACUCCGUGCCAGCAGCCGCGGUAAUACGGAGGAUCCGAGCGUUAUCCGGAGUUAUUGGGUGUAAAGGGAGCGUAGAUGGGUUGUUAAGUCAGUUGUGAAAGUUUGCGGCUCAACCGUAAAAUUGCAAUUGAUACUGGCAGCCUUGAGUACAGGUGAGGUAGGUGGAAUUCGUGGUGUAGCGGUGAAAUGCUUAGAGAUCACGAAGAACUCCGAUUGCGAAGGCAGCUUACUAAACUGCCACUGACAUUGAUGCGCGAAAGUGUGGGUAUCAAACAGGAUUAGAUACCCCGGUAGUC